GAUGAACGCUGGCGGCGUGCCUAACACAUGCAAGUCGAGCGAGAACCGCUGGAAUGACACUUCGGUAGAAUGAAAGCGGGGAAAGCGGCGGACGGGUGAGUAACGCGUAGGUAACCUGCCCCAUACACAGGGAUAGCCUAGGGAAACCUGGAUUAAUACCUGAUGAAGCAACUGGUCGCAUGACCGGCUGCCAAAGAUUUAUCGGUAUGGGAUGGACCUGCGUCUGAUUAGUGAGUUGGUGGGUAAUGGCCUACCAAAGCGACGAUCAGUAGCCGACCUGAGAGGGUGAUCGGCCACAUUGGAACUGAGACACGGUCCAAACUCCUGCGGGAGGCAGCAGUGGGGGAUAUUGCACAAUGGGCGGAAGCCUGAUGCAGCAACGCCGCGUGAGCGAAGAAGGUCUUCGGAUCGUAAAGCUCUGUCCUGGGGAAGAACAAAUGACGGUACCCCGGAGGAAGCCCGGCUAACUACGUGCCAGCAGCCGCGUAACU
rnacentral:rRNA from 1 species